AUGGACCUCAGAUCAGGCGAGGCGACCCGCUGAACUUAAGCAUAUCAAUAAGCGGAGGAAAAGCAACUAACCAGGAUUUCCCCAGUAACGGCGAGCGAAGCGGGAUGAGCUCGAGCAGUCAAUCUCUGGCGUGGAGCGCCAGCGAAUUGUGGCCGGGAGAGGCGGGUGCACUGGAGGCGCCUCUGUCGAAGUUGACCUGGAAAGGCACGUCGGAGAGGGUGAUAGCCCCGUGGGUGGGCGGAGGUGCCGAAAGCMGCUACCGUCUUCCGAGAGUCGGGUUGUUUGAGAUUGCAGCCCAAAUGGGGUGGUAAACUCCAUCUAAAGCCAAACAGCGGCACGAGACCGAUAGCGAACAAGUACCAUGAGGGAAAGGUGAAAAGCACUUUGGAAAGAGAGUUAAAGAGACCGCGAAACCGUUAGGAGGGAAACGCAUGCAGCCGAACUGGCCUUCGUCGGGUUCACGGGGUCGCGCGAGUCCUGGUCGAGCCGGGCGUCACCCAUGCGGGGUCGUCUGCUCGGCGGAGGUGUCCGCUCCCCUGCACUCCCGGCGGUCGGGGCCGGCCAAGGACGGUGGUGUCCGCGGCGAAGAGGACGGUCGGGUAGGUGGUGCAGCCGGCCCUCUCGGGUCGGAGGCGAGCUUAGAGCCGUCCGUUCGGCAGGUCGCGGGUGCACCGAGGAGAGCGGUGGCUUUUGUUUCACCCCGGCAGCGCAGGCCUCGCUUUAGGGCGGGGCCGGAGCGCUUCUGUCCGUUCAGCCUCCGCGCCGAGGGACUGCUCGCAGUGCCCGGUGUCGGUGUGCGGGUCCGGGCGGGAGGUGGCCUCACGCCUUGCGCUGCGGUCGCUUGGCCAGCCGUCGGCUUCAUUCGA
rnacentral:rRNA from 1 species